GCGGUAGCCUAGUGGUCAUGGUAACGGACUCGGGUUUCGUUGAGUCUCGAGUUCGAGCCUUGAUGUCCGCA